rnacentral:lncRNA from 1 species
AUUUUAAGAAUGUCCCAUCAACCACUACUACCGGCCUACAAUGUUGCCAACCAUUUAUUGAUGUAGAAAGAGCAACAAAUGCAUACAAAAAGCAAUCAUCCGCUGCCUUCUUCAAUUUAACAACAGAACCUGGAUAAUUCUUCUCAAGAAUAUAAAAAUAUUUUGGUAAUCUGUUGUACGAGUCACACGGAUUCCCUCGCAGAAACUGUAAUGCUUUUUCCUUUGCUCUCCAUGCUUGCAUGUAGCUUA